GGUCAUUCUGGGCGCCAUCGCGGUUCCAACUGGUUCAGACCCAGCUCUCUCCGGACUUCUUGUCUGUCAACUUUUAGGUGUAUGGAGUGUCCCUUGCCUCAGUUCCCUGCUGUCUCAGAUUUCUUAUGUCCAAGGAAAACCUGAGUUCUCAGCCUCCUAUUCAAGCCCAGAGUAAACAAAUACUCAGGAGAAGAAUGACUUCAAAAGGUAGGUCUUAGGUUCUCGAGAUCUGAUAGCGCAUCAUGGCACCUGAGUGCAUGGCUGUGGUGGAGACCUAUGGGAUUUUCACUGUCUCAAUUCAUCCUGUGGGGACUGUUGGCAAAGAUGAUCCUCUGAACUCCUUUCUCUGGUACUGGCUAUUGUUUUUCUGAUGAGGGGCAGAUACUUGACCAAAUAGCUAGGCUGCAUAUGGUGUGUGAAUCCUCUUUCAAGUCUUCCUGCAGCAGGUACUGUCUCUGCCUACCUUUUCAUGUCCU